rnacentral:rRNA from 1 species
GACGAACGCUGGCGGCGUGCUUAACACAUGCAAGUCGAACGGAAAGGCCCAGCUUGCUGGGUACUCGAGUGGCGAACGGGUGAGUAACACGUGGGUGCUCUGCCCUGGACUCUGGGAUAAGCCUGGGCAACUGGGUCUAAUACCGGAUAUGACCUUACAUCGCAUGGUGUUUGGUGGAAAGCUUUUGCGGUUCAGGAUGGGCCCGCGGCCUAUCAGCUUGUUGGUGGGGUAAUGGCCUACCAAGGCGACGACGGGUAGCCGACCUGAGAGGGUGAUCGGCCACACUGGGACUGAGACACGGCCCAGACUCCUACGGGAGGCAGCAGUGGGGAAUAUUGCACAAUGGGCGCAAGCCUGAUGCAGAGACGCCGCGUGAGGGAUGACGGCCUUCGGGUUGUAAACCUCUUUCACCAGGGACGAAGCGUGAGUGACGGUACCUGGAGAAGAAGCACCGGCCAACUACGUG